AGUGAACGCUGGCGGCGUGCCUAACACAUGCAAGUCGAACGAGAACGGAACUAGCUUGCUAGUUUGUCAGCUAAGUGGCGCACGGGUGAGUAAUGUAUAGAUAACAUGCCCUUUACAAAGAAAUAACAGUUGGAAACGACUGCUAAUGUCUUAUAUGCCUUUAAUACAAAAGUAUGCAAGGGAAAGAUUUAUCGGUAAAGGAUUGGUCUGUAUUGUAUCAGUUAGUUGGUGAGGUAAUGGCUUACCAAGACAAUGACGCAUAACUGGUUUGAGAGGAUGAUCAGUCACACUGGAACUGAGACACGGCCCAAACUCCUACGGGAGGCAGCAGUGGGGAAUAUUGCACAAUGGGGGAAACCCUGAUGCAGCGACGCCGCGUGAAGGAAGAAGGUUUUCGGAUCGUAAACUUCUAUCAGCAGGGAAGAUAGUGACAGUACCUGACUAAGAAGCCCCGGCUAACUACGUGCCAGCAGCCGCGGUAAUACGUAGGGGGCAAGCGUUAUCCGGAUUUACUGGGUGUAAAGGGUGCGUAGGCGGCGAAGUAAGUCAGAUGUGAAAGCCCGAGGCUCAACCUCGGGACUGCAUUUGAAACUGC
rnacentral:rRNA from 1 species